rnacentral:rRNA from 1 species
CGGGUGAGUAACGCGUAGGAAUCUACCAAGUAGUGGGGGAUAAGCCAGAGAAAUUUGGUCUAAUACCGCAUACGCCCUUCGGGGGAAAGCAGGGGAUCUUCGGACCUUGCGCUAUCUGAUGAGCCUGCGUGAGAUUAGCUUGUUGGUGAGGUAAUGGCUCACCAAGGCGACGAUCUCUAGCUGGUCUGAGAGGAUGAUCAGCCACACUGGGACUGAGACACGGCCCAGACUCCUACGGGAGGCAGCAGUGGGGAAUAUUGCACAAUGGGCGCAAGCCUGAUGCAGCCAUGCCGCGUGUGUGAAGAAGGCCCUAGGGUUGUAAAGCACUUUCAGCAGUGAGGAAAGGUGUGUAGUUAAUACCUGCAUACUGUGACGUUAACUGCAGAAGAAGCACCGGCUAACUCCGUGCCAGCAGCCGCGGUAAUACGGAGGGUGCGAGCGUUAAUCGGAAUUACUGGGCGUAAAGCGCGCGUAGGUGGAUUGGUCAGUCAGAUGUGAAAGCCCAGGGCUCAACCUUGGAACUGCACCUGAUACUGCCAAUCUAGAAUAC